rnacentral:pre_miRNA from 1 species
AAAAUACUCCCUCCAUCCCAAAAUUCUUGCCUUAGAUUUGUCUAGAUACGGAUGUAUCUAAUACUAAAACAUGACUUGAUACAUCCGUAUUUAGACAAAUCUCAGACAAGAAUUUUGGGACGGAGGGAGUAUGUC